rnacentral:rRNA from 1 species
CGGGACCGCCCACAACCUUCGAUGGAUAGGGGUUCUGAGAGGAAGGUCCCCCCACAUUGGAACUGAGACACGGUCCAAACUCCUACGGGAGGCAGCAUG